GACGAACGCUGGCGGUAUGCUUAACACGUGCAAGUCGAACGGAAAGGCCCCCUUGUGGGGUACUCGAGUGGCGAACGGGUGAGUAACACGUGAGUAACCUACCCUUGACUUUGGGAUAACUUCAGGAAACUGGGGCUAAUACCGGAUAGGAGCUCCUGCUGCAUGGUGGGGGUUGGAAAGUUUCGGCGGUUGGGGAUGGACUCGCGGCUUAUCAGCUUGUUGGUGGGGUAGUGGCUCACCAAGGCUUUGACGGGUAGCCGGCCUGAGAGGGUGACCGGCCACAUUGGGACUGAGAUACGGCCCAGACUCCUACGGGAGGCAGCAGUGGGGAAUAUUGCACAAUGGGCGGAAGCCUGAUGCAGCAACGCCGCGUGCGGGAUGACGGCCUUCGGGUUGUAAACCGCUUUCGCCUGUGACGAAGCGUGAGUGACGGUAAUGGGUAAAGAAGCACCGGCUAACUACGUG
rnacentral:rRNA from 1 species